UACAGAGGGGGCAAGCGUUGUCCGGAAUGAUUGGGCGUAAAGCGUCUGUAGGUGGCUUUUCAAGUCCGCCGUCAAAUCCCAGGGCUCAACCCUGGACAGGCGGUGGAAACUACCAAGCUGGAGUACGGUAGGGGCAGAGGGAAUUUCCGGUGGAGCGGUGAAAUGCAUUGAGAUCGGAAAGAACACCAACGGCGAAAGCAGCUCUCUGGGACGGUACUGACGCUGAGACGCGAAAGCGUGGGGAGCGAACAGG
rnacentral:rRNA from 1 species